rnacentral:rRNA from 1 species
UACGGGGGGGGCAAGCGUUGUUCGGAAUUACUGGGCGUAAAGGGCUCGUAGGUGGCCAACUAAGUCAGACGUGAAAUCCCUCGGCUUAACCGGGGAACUGCGUCUGAUACUGGAUGGCUUGAGUUUGGGAGAGGGACGCGGAAUUCCAGGUGUAGCGGUGAAAUGCGUAGAUAUCAGGAGGAACACCGGUGGCGAAGGCGGGUCUCUGGGCCGAAAUUGACGCUGAGGAGCGAAAGCGUGGGGAGCAAACAGG